UCUUCCUGUCUCACUGUAACGCUGAUGAUUUAACUUCCUGUUUCUGUCACAUCUGCUCAUUUUCACCUUUAAAAACCAAACCCUCCAUUUUGACACGAGUCAAACACACACGCGCUGUUAUUUAUCUCAUUUAAAGAAGAUCUGCUGUCUCGUGUCAGUCUAUCACAGCAGUGUGUACGUCAGGGACACAACUGAGGCGGAAGCGCAAAUUCUGUGCGAGCCGCCGCCUGACUGUUCACACAGGGAGCCGUCCAGGAGGAUGUUUUAGAUGCUGGCUUGCCUGUCCACGGAGCCACGGGUGGUGACAUCAGCAAAUGUCCCUACUAUGCUGCCAAAAUGACGGCGUCGAGUGGAACAGCAUAUGCCGGUCAACUCGCCAUGGCCGCGGGACAGGUUCUGUUUGUGACUUGGAUUGCUGCUCUGGCUGGAUUCGCUGCAUGGUAUCUGAUGUGAUCCCACCUCCAGCCUGUCAUUCUGCUGCUGGGAGAGGGAGAGGGAGAGAGGGAGAGGGAGGAGAAACAUUGAGGGAGGGCGGAUAAGGAGAUUGAGACCAUUUCAUAGUUUAAUACAAACAUUCUUUAGAGGUCCAACCUAAUUCAAUAUUGCAAAUGGCCAAAGAGGGAAGCUGACAGGAAAUAUACUUGGUCUUAUUGGACUAUUAGCACAUCAACUUCAUCCAUCUCUCAUGCUAUGCCUUCAUGUGUUGUUUCUCCGCUUCCUUUGGACUAUCCCUCCAUUUGAUGUCCCUUCAGAGUGUCUGGCCGUACCUCAUACCCUUCUGGAGCUGUUUGCUGAUAUUGGCUCAGAAGCACAUUGUGUGAAUACUUUGAUUUUAUUAUUUUUUUCAACUUUACUUGAAAUUUCUUUUUGAUGCGACCCACUUAAAAACUGUAACUGGCUUUACAGCUGACAAUGAUGCACCUAUUAAUGCUAAAAUAUACUAUGCAGAGGCUGUGGAUAGAAAAGCACAAAUUUGUUUGAGAAAUGUAAAUUUGAAAUUAAGUUUGAUUAAAUGCAACAGUACUUUUUUCAAAUGGA